AGAACAGCGGAGCAAGGUGGCCAUUUUAUUUUCUCAAAGCCACACUACCUGCUGCUACACAGGACAUAAAAGUGCAAAAUUCCACCAGGAAGGGAAACAAAACAGUCUUGAGACAGCCAUGUCUCAGAGGUGAAGAUUGGAGGAGAUUUUAAUAUAGGGUGUGAAUUCCAAUUCACAUCUCUUCCAACGGGACCUCUUUCCGAAGUCCCGGGAACUAACAUUCAUCAACACCUCUGACAUCCCAGAGGAUCGCAACAUUCCUGCCAAGGGUUAUUACUCCCAUUUCCCAGAUGAAGAGAUUGAGUCCCUGCAGCACGCAAUUAGACAGUAGCAGAACCAGAAUUUGAACUCUGAUCCACCCCGAUUCUGGGACCUGUGGAGCUCCAGGUACCGAGAGCUGGCUCUCGCCUGGGGCCUUGGAGUCUGGGUAGCUGGAUGCUGGGAGAGGCUGCGGAGGUAAGGGCCCAGGGGCUGAGGUUGCAGCGGCUGCCCGGGAAUGCGGCCCUUGCACGCCCACUUUUUAACACAGUGCCAUCCCUGACAGACACCCUUGUCCUUUUCCUGUGCUGCCCUUCGUAACACCAUAAAUAAAGCCUUAGAGUAACGUGACCUGAGCCAGGCAGUAAAUGAUGGCACUGUCAGUUGUACACGACUGUUGAAACAAACACAGACUGUAAUCAUCGUGCUGUACGGGGAGAAAGACAUUUGGCAAAUGAGAUUCCAUUUUCACAUUGGUUUGUGCUGAGCAUAUAAAUUUCCUGCGGGCCGGCCAGCAUUGGGGAUGUGUAAUUGAUUGCCUGCAUUAUAAUAAACAAGCUGUGACAGGUGAUCAUUCAUCAUAUUCCGCUGAACGUUCCAGCACACCAGAAAACGGAGGAAGAGAGGGAACGCGCGAGCAAGGGGAGAGGAGAGGAGGAACCUGGGGGAGGGAAUCCGCUGAGCGGGCGGGGGAAAGUGAAAGCAAUUACUAUAAUUCUUUUGAUUAUCUAAUUUGUUCUUUCUGGCCUUCGUUAUAUGACCCUCCCCCCCUCCCCCCACUCCAACAUAGAAGGUCCCCCACGGGGACUUGGGAAGGCACAGAGAACGCUCCCUCC
rnacentral:lncRNA from 10 species